rnacentral:lncRNA from 1 species
GAGAAUGUUGUACUAUGUUACCCAAAGAGAGGAUCAAAACUGCACUAAAACACAAAACAAAGAAAGCAAAUUUUAAUCAGUUCAACCACAAGAUAAUAGAUGAAAGACUAAAUAAAGUUUAAACUGUAAGCAUAAAAAAAAAAAAAACCACGCACCUGGGAAGCAAGAGAGAAAAAAGAGAGGAGGAAGAUGAGAAACAACAAUAGAAUGCCGAAAAGAGAGAAAAAGAAGAGGUGUGGCAAGAGAAAAAGGAGAAGAGGAAGACGAUCGAUAUCAGAAACUGAAUGCCGCGAAGAGUUGCGGUGUAUUUAAAAUGGAAUUGAGCGUCGGUUAUUCUCCAGAAACCGACGUCUAUAGACGUCGGUUUUCGUACUAAUGUGACGUCCAAGUGAACAUUUAAAACUGACUUUUUGAAUACCCAUUAGACGUCGGUUUCUGUUAGGGGGAACCGACGUCUAGGAAGCUUAACCGAUUGACGUUUGAUAUCCUGUCAAGGAUGUUCAUGACUGUUGGUAUGGGCCACCGACGUCUAUAAUAACAUACACGUCGGGGCCCUAAAUAGCCAACCUCUCAAGCCCUCG